rnacentral:rRNA from 1 species
CAGUAGCCGCGGUAAUACGAAGGGUGCAAGCGUUACUCGGAAUUACUGGGCGUAAAGCGUGCGUAGGUGGUGGUUUAAGUCCGUUGUGAAAGCCCUGGGCUCAACCUGGGAAUUGCAGUGGAUACUGGGUCACUAGAGUGUGGUAGAGGAUAGUGGAAUUUCCGGUGUAGCAGUGAAAUGCGUAGAGAUCGGAAGGAACAUCUGUGGCGAAGGCGACUAUCUGGGCCAACACUGACACUGAGGCACGAAAGCGUGGGGAGCAAACAGGAUUAGAUACCCCGUAGUCCCUGUCUCUUAUACA